rnacentral:rRNA from 1 species
CAGACGGGUGAGUAACGCGUGGGAACGUGCCCUUCGGUUCGGAAUAACUCAGGGAAACUUGAGCUAAUACCGGAUACGUCCGAGAGGAGAAAGAUUUAUCGCCGAAGGAUCGGCCCGCGUCUGAUUANCUANUUGGUGGGGUAAUGGCCUACCAAGGCGACGAUCAGUAGCUGGUCUGAGAGGAUGANNNNCCACACUGGGACUGAGACACGGCCCAGACUCCUACGGGAGGCAGCAGCAGGGAAUCUUGCGCAAUGGGCGAAAGCCUGACGCAGCAACGCCGCGUGGGGGAUGAAGGCCUUCGGGUUGUAAACCCCUUUCAGGAGGGAAGAAAUUGAC